AGAUGAUUGGGAUCAAGGUUCAGUGACUUGAUCCAGGUCAAAGGACAUUAUCUGACUUGAAAACCAGCCAUUCCUCAAGAAGGAUUACAAGGAGAUGUACACUGGUGAUAUUGUUUCCGUCUUCAGUAACGGUUCAUUCAUGAGAUCCAGUUCACAAGGUACAAAUAUAUGGUGAUCAAGGCUCUGUGGGGAACCUGAGCAAAUGUUUCUCAGGAAAACAAUACCGCCGGAGUUGAUCCUGACAGUUGACGUGAAGCAGUGUGGAAGAACGGCAUGAAGAUCAAGGCAGCGAGCUGCUGGAUACAAUCGCGCCAGACCUAGUGUUCAUCAUCGAUGAU